rnacentral:rRNA from 1 species
UACGAAGGGGGCUAGCGUUGCUCGGAAUCACUGGGCGUAAAGCGUGCGCAGGCGGUUCGUUGUGUCGGCGGUGAAAGCCCCGGGCUUAACCUGGGAAUGGCCGUUGAAACUGGCGAACUGGAGUGUGGCAGAGGGGGGUGGAAUUCCGCGUGUAGCAGUGAAAUGCGUAGAGAUGCGGAGGAACACCGAUGGCGAAGGCAGCCCCCUGGGCUAACACUGACGCUCAGGCACGAAAGCGUGGGGAGCAAACAGG